UACGUAGGGGGCAAGCGUUGUCCGGAUUUACUGGGCGUAAAGGGCGCGCAGGCGGCUAUCCAAGUCAGGCGUGAAAGCCCCGGGCUUAACCUGGGAGGUGCGUCUGGGACUGGGUGGCUAGAGUUCGGGAGAGGAGAGUGGAAUUCCCAGUGUAGAGGUGAAAUUCGUAGAUAUUGGGAAGAACACCGGUGGCGAAGGCGGCUCUCUGGACCGAGACUGACGCUGAGGCGCGAAAGCGUGGGGAGCAAACAGG
rnacentral:rRNA from 1 species